AUGGAGAGAGAAUCCCACCAAAUUAAACGGCGUAGCAAAGCGCGCCUAACCCUUCUAGUUGAUUACUACAACACAAACUUCACUAAUGGUGCUGAUACCUUCCGACUUUGCCUGACCUACGAUGAGUUUGUGAAGAGGUGUUCUGACCUUGAGAAGGUCACUCUGAGCGAUAUAUUCGCCCUUCAGCUUAUGCAGGUGCCAGAAGUGACGGAAGAAGCUGCUCUUGCUGUCACGAGUCUCUACCCCACUCUUCUCUCGCUUCCUAAGGCAUACACCAUGCUUGAUGACGAUAGGCGUGCCCAGGAGGAGAUGCUGAAGAACAAGAGCGUCAUGGUCAACGUGGGGGCUAGCAAGAAAAUCAUCAAGCUCAUCUGGGCGGAAGGAUGA
rnacentral:rRNA from 1 species